rnacentral:misc_RNA from 1 species
CCUAGAGUUGUAGGCUUUGCCUGCUAUCUCUUACCCAUGUCUUUUGAGUACCUUACGCUUCCUCGGUGGGUUCGCCCACCGAUUGGACAAACUUAAACCCUUUGCAGUUGAAAUCAGCGUCUGAAAAAACUUAAUAGUUA